rnacentral:rRNA from 1 species
GACGAACCGAGCGAACGUUGUUCGGGAUAACUGGGCUUAAAGGGCGCGUAGGCGGGCUGUCAAGUUUGGGGUGAAAUGCCACGGCUCAACCGUGGAACUGCCUCAAAUACUGACGGUCUCGAGGGAGGUAGGGGCGAGCGGAACGGAUGGUGGAGCGGUGAAAUGCGUUGAUAUCAUCCGGAACUCCGGCGGCGAAAGCGGUGCACUGGUGGAUUACUGACGCUGAGGUGCGAAAGCCAGGGGAGCAAACGGG